GGCCAGACUCCUACGGAGGCAGCAGUGAGGAAUAUUGGUCAAUGGCCGGAAGGCUGAACCAGCCAAGUCGCGUGAGGGAAUAAGGCCCUAUGGGUCGUAAACCUCUUUUGUCAGGGAGCAAAGGCGUCCACGUGUGGACGAGAGGAGAGUACCUGAAGAAAAAGCAUCGGCUAACUCCGUGCCAGCAGCCGCGGUAAUACGGAGGAUGCGAGCGUUAUCCGGAUUUAUUGGGUUUAAAGGGUGCGCAGGCGGUCUGUUAAGUCAGCGGUCAAAGCCCGGGGCUCAACCCCGGUCCGCCGUUGAAACUGGCAGUCUCGAGUUGGAGAGAAGUAUGCGGAAUGCGCGGUGUAGCGGUGAAAUGCAUAGGUAUCGCGCAGAACUCCGAUUGCGAAGGCAGCAUGCCGGCUCCACACUGACGCUGAGGCACGAAAGCGUGGGUAUCGAACAGGAUUAGAUACCCGUGUAC
rnacentral:rRNA from 1 species